GCGGAAGUAGCUUAGUUGGUAGAGCCCCAGCCUUCCAAGCUGGUUGCGUGGGUUCGAAUCCCAUCUCCCGCUCCA
rnacentral:tRNA from 1 species